rnacentral:rRNA from 1 species
AGAGCGAACGCUGGCGGCAGGCCUAACACAUGCAAGUCGAGCGCCCCGCAAGGGGAGCGGCAGACGGGAGAGUAACACGUGGGAACGUACCCUUUGGUUCGGAACAACACAGGGAAACUUGUGCUAAUACCGGAUAAGCCCUUACGGGGAAGGAUUUAUUGCCAAAGGAUCGGCCCGCGUCUGAUUAGCUUGUUGGUGAGGUAACGGCUCACCAAGGCUACGAUCAGUAGCUGGUCUGAGAGGAUGAUCAGCCUCACUGGGACUGAGACACGGCCCAGACUCCUACGGGAGGCAGCAGUGGGGAAUAUUGGACAAUGGGCGCAAGCCUGAUCCAGCCAUGCCGCGUGGAUGAUGAAGGCCCUAGGGUUGUAAAGUCCUUUCGACGGGGAAGAUAAUGACGGUACCCGUAGAAGAAGCCCCGGCUAACUUCGUGCCAGUAGCCGC